CGAAUAAACCACUGGACGCGUAACGAGUGACGUUUUCGUCUUUACCCCGCUAGCACUUACCAAGGCUAAAUUAGCCAUGGUAAAUGUUGUCAGGUUGUCACUUUGUCAGUAUGACGCGAGCUCUCGAAGAGUAAAAAUAUCACGAAAAAUGGGUAAAUGCGCCGUACUUUAUUGCAAAAAUUAUUCCGGUCACACAAGAAAUGUUUCUUAUCACGCAUUUCCAGUGGAUCCAAAUAGAAGGAGAAAGUGGAUAGAGGCAGUCAGAAGACAAAAUACGUGGAUUCCAACUAAAAACCACUGCAUUUGUAGCAUUCAUUUUGCGGAAGAAUGCUACAAUGCCAAUUCUACGAAACAGAGAAAACUGCACAAAGAUUCUAUACCUACAUUGAAUUUGCCUAAAUUUUCACAUGAAACAUAAGAUGAUGAGAUCGACAUAGAUGGAACAUACAAAACAAGCAUACCAGUAAAUGUAAGUAAUAAUUACACCUUUUUUGAAAUAUGUUGUACAUCAAAAUACUGGUCAAAUUUGAAUAAAAUAUUUUUGAUGUUGAUUGAUUUUUUGGCUCUGGAAAUUGCUCUGGAAUCAAUGAAGUUAGGAUAUACCGACGUCUUCAAAACCGAAAUAAGUACUGGGAGGUCUUCUCGAAUGACCUAAACAUAAGAAUAUCAACAACAUUAGAUAAGAAUUAAAUAAUCUCAGAUAGUGCAUCCGUACUGCAAGCGCUACAAAGCAAUACAUUGUCAUAAUGUUAUCAAAUUGUGUUUCAUGAAAUGUAUAGAA